rnacentral:rRNA from 1 species
AGCGGCGGAUGGGUGAGUAACACGUGGGGAACCUGCCCCUAAGUCUGGGAUACCAUUUGGAAACAGGUGCUAAUACCGGAUAAUAAAGCAGAUCGCAUGAUCAGCUUUCGAAAGGCGGCGUAAGCUGUCGCUAAGGGAUGGCCCCGCGGUGCAUUAGCUAGUUGGUAAGGUAACGGCUUACCAAGGCGACGAUGCAUAGCCGAGUUGAGAGACUGAUCGGCCACAUUGGGACUGAGACACGGCCCAAACUCCUACGGGAGGCAGCAGUAGGGAAUCUUCCACAAUGGACGCAAGUCUGAUGGAGCAACGCCGCGUGAGUGAAGAAGGUUUUCGGAUCGUAAAGCUCUGUUGUUGGUGAAGAAGGAUAGAGGUAGUAACUGGCCUUUAUUUGACGGUAAUCAACCAGAAAGUCACGGCUAACUACGUGCCAGCAGCCGCGGUAAUACGUAGGUGGCAAGCGUUGUCCGGAUUUAUUGGGCGUAAAGCGAGCGCAGGCGGAAAAAUAAGUCUAAUGUGAAAGCCCUCGGCUUAACCGAGGAACUGCAUCGGAAACUGUUUUUCUUGAGUGCAGAAGAGGAGAGUGGAACUCCAUGUGUAGCGGUGGAAUGCGUAGAUAUAUGGAAGAACACCAGUGGCGAAAGGCGGCUCUCUGGUCUGCAACUGACGCUGAGGCUCGAAAGCAUGGGUAGCGAACAGGAUUAGAUACCCUGGGUAGUCCAUGCCGUAAACGAUGAGUGCUAAGUGU